CACUCCUACGGGAGGCAGCAGUGGGGAAUUUUGGACAAUGGGCGAAAGCCUGAUCCAGCAAUGCCGCGUGCAGGAUGAAGGCCUUCGGGUUGUAAACUGCUUUUGUACGGAACGAAAAAGCUCCUUCUAAUACAGGGGGCCCAUGACGGUACCGUAAGAAUAAGCACCGGCUAACUACGUGCCAGCAGCCGCGGUAAUACGUAGGGUGCGAGCGUUAAUCGGAAUUACUGGGCGUAAAGCGUGCGCAGGCGGUUAUGUAAGACAGAUGUGAAAUCCCCGGGCUCAACCUGGGAACUGCAUUUGUGACUGCAUGGCUAGAGUACGGUAGAGGGGGAUGGAAUUCCGCGUGUAGCAGUGAAAUGCGUAGAUAUGCGGAGGAACACCGAUGGCGAAGGCAAUCCCCUGGACCUGUACUGACGCUCAUGCACGAAAGCGUGGGGAGCAAACAGGAUUAGAAACCCUAGUAGUCCCAUGA
rnacentral:rRNA from 1 species